rnacentral:rRNA from 1 species
UACAGAGGGGGCAAGCGUUGUUCGGAAUUACUGGGCGUAAAGGGCGCGUAGGCGGCCUGCUAAGUCGAACGUGAAAUCCCUGGGCUCAACCCAGGAACUGCGUCCGAUACUGGUUGGCUUGAAUCCGGGAGAGGGACGUGGAAUUUCAGGUGUAGCGGUGAAAUGCGUAGAUAUCUGGAGGAACACCGGUGGCGAAGGCGACGUCCUGGACCGGCAUUGACGCUGAGGCGCGAAAGCCAGGGAGCAAACGGG